CAAUAGCGUAUAUUAAAGUUGUUGCGGUUAAAAAGCUCGUAGUUGGAUUUCUGCCGAGGACGACCGGUCCGCCCUCUGGGUGUGUAUCUGGUUUGGCCUGGGCAUCUUCUUGGAGAACGUAGCUGCACUUGACUGUGUGGUGCGGUGUCCAGGACUUUUACUUUGAGGAAAUUAGAGUGUUUCAAGCAGGCACACGCCUUGAAUACAUUAGCAUGGAAUAAUAAGAUAGGACCUCGGUUCUAUUUUGUUGGUUUCUAGAGCUGAGGUAAUGAUUAAUAGGGAUAGUUGGGGGCAUUCGUAUUUAACUGGCAGAGGUGAAAUUCUUGGAUUUGUUAAAGACGGACUACUGCGAAAGCAUUUGCCAAGGAUGUUUUCAUUGA
rnacentral:rRNA from 1 species